AUCAGUUCAAUAAAGCUAUAGGAAACCGCGAGAAGCUGUUUCACAAGAUCCUCCAAAUACAUUGGGUGUGAGAAGGAAUAAAAAAAAGUCCUGGACACCCUUACAGCUGGAAAAUAUAGCAUUAUUGUCAAGGCGAAAUAGAGGUUUGCCUCAGUGGGGAGGGGGAAGCCAGAUCGCGUUACUUCCUUCUAAGCCACGCCAAUAAACGGUAAAGAAAAACAUCCUCCAUCGGGUUUCUUUGGAAAGUGGUGAUGCAAGAAGUUCUACUUCAUACAUUUCAGACGUCGAUUUUACCAUCGACAGCCAUCAACAUCAUCAAGCCCUGCACAACUAACGUGCUGUUUCCUAUUUAACAACAGGUAUUUACACGUGUUAUAUUUUGUAUUGUAUUUUUGUAUUUUGUUUAGUCCCAGUAUGAAAAUGUGAUGCAAGGGAUUUUACCAUCGACAGCCAUCAACAUCAUCAAGCCCUGCACAACUAACGUGCUAUUUCCUAUUUAACAACAGCAGAUAAUAAAUAAUGUUCAGCUGGGACCACUGGCUGGGGUGAUUUAUUUGGACGAAACACAACACAAGGAGAGUAUGAUCAGCAUCUGUUACACCUCCCCUAGGCAUCCCUCUCCCCUGGUAUUACUAGCACGCUAAAAGCUAGCUAGCUAGUUUACCAACUCAACCUAGCUGCCACUGUGUGUUGUCAUCUUGGCUUACCAAACAUCUGCCAUUUGUGCGUGUUUCGCAUAUAUAAGCCUACGUUUCAACAUGAUAUGUUUCCUGCUCCAGCCCUGUGGUCGUAGCUAGGCUCACCCAAAAUUAUUUUGCGGGUGCUGUACAACUCCCGCCAGAUUAUUGUAGCUCAAUACCUUUACUGUGUAUUGUGGUAACUGUUGUAAUACAGUCUCCUGUAACUAUUAUGUUAGUUAAUUUGAUUAAUAAGUAUGUUGCAUAAGAAAUAUUUAUAUUUUAUCAUUUUUUUCUAAACCUUCUGAGCUGAGAAAACACUGCAUCACCAUGAUGCUGGGCAUGCAUGGCUGCGCCUCUUGUGGAGCUGAACUACAAGUAGAAGAUGGUCAUGACCUGUGCUACGCCUGCCGAGGUGUUGGCCACCUGCGUGUGAGGCCUUUUCUGACCCCUGCAUUAACUGUGCCAUCCUGUUUGUGAAGGUAACCAUGGUUGACAGGGGAAGAACAAUGAUUGCAAGCACCACCCUCCUUUUGAAGCUUCCAGGCUGUUGUUCGAACUCAAUCAGCAUGACAGAGCAGCUGGUCCUUUUGUGGUACCAACAACAAUGCUCAGACAGAGGAGGCCCAGGAAACGGCCCUGCCGGGGCCAACAUCAAACUGGUCAGCUCAACACUUCUCAUAGAGCGGCACCUGGUCAAAUAUCUGCUGGCUGCAGAAACCAAUGUCCAUGUUGCCACACAGACGUGGCUGACGUGAUUCUGCAGACGGGGGCUGACCUGAAUCAUGAAUCGAAGAGGGGACCAGAACCCCUCGAAUGAAAGUCAAGCACGACCAAUGUUUAGUGAGGUCAUUUGCACUCACGAUUAAAGGAGAUCCAUGAAGUGAACAUGGACAGCAUCUCUAAGCCUGAUUUCUCAUAGGAGGACGGGUUGGACGGGACAGUGCAUUUCCUCAAAAUCAAGGUAGUCCCUGACAGUUGGAAGAUGGACCUGAGCGAGAUCUUAGAAUCGUCGAGGAGGACAAGGAAGGAAAGGAGAGCGAAGAGGAGAAAGAGGUGCUAAGGGUGGUCACACAAUUGUGGUGUCCUAGCUCCUCAACUACCCCAACAACAUUGUUUCGGGCCCCAUGCCAGACUUAUCUCAUCUCUCACCCCCCUCCCAAGACACCUCUCAGGCUCCAUGACUUCCAUUCCAAGCCCUGGCCAUGGUAGUGCCUCCCCAAGAGCCAGACAGGGUACCCUCCAACAUCACAAUACCUCCACUUGUCAUCACAAAAGAGGCUGAGCCCCCUACAGGUUAACGCCGUUGCUGCAGAGUGCAUUGUGGAAGAGACUGAGAGCAAGCUGAAUGAGUUGAGCCAAUGGAUCUCAGCCAUAGAGAAGGCAGAGCUGCAGCAGAAGAAAAUCCUCAAGGAGCAGUUAACCAAAGUGUACAUGAAGGUCAAAGGCCUGAAGGAUGACCCAGGAAAAGUAGUUGCUGGAGAUGAUCGUGGACUACAGGAAAAGGAGGGCCGAACAGGCCUCCAUUAACAUCGACGGGGCUGUAGUGGAGCGGGUCGAGAGUUUCAAGUUCCUUGGU